rnacentral:lncRNA from 1 species
GUAAAAUUUAUCAAAGAUACCGGAAUUUCAUAUAGGACGCGUGAUUCAUUUUCAUUAAUCUCGACACUGCACUGAAAUCAGUAAAGCAAACAUUAGCAUGAUUAAUACAUGAACGUCACAUUCAUUGACAUACUUUUUUAAACCAUUUUAUCUUAUCACACUGGGCAUUUCCAUAAUCUAUUGUAUCCAAUACUAAAAAUAAAUACGCACUAUGGACUGAUAAGCCUUAAUCAUGGGGAGUACAGUGUGUAAUAACGUACGAUUAUUUGAUAUCUAUAUGUAACAACGUAUUUAAAGUUCAUAUGAUACUUCAAAUUAAAAACACGUUUAAACUGAGUGUUUCAUGUGCAUGAUAGGCUACGAUUUACUACAAAACACAAAAAAGACUCAAGAAACCAGUUUGAAAAGGAAGCAUGAUGAACAUAGAUCUUGAACUAUAAUUUUUUACUAUUUAUACUAUCAAUCGGAAUUUUCAUUUACUAUGUUUAGCCAUAAAUUCCAUAAACUAUAUUUAAACUAAGACUUUUGAGAGCUAUUUUUAAACGUAAAGUCCUAAUCACUCACAUGACUAUACUACGUAGUAUUCCCGUGACCUACAAAAUAUCAAUGGCAUUAUUAGUGUAAACGGGUAUAUGUAAAUAAUUUGUUUUUAGACAAAUAUAAAAGAGGAACC